rnacentral:rRNA from 1 species
UACGGGGGGGGCAAGCGUUGUUCGGAAUUACUGGGCGUAAAGGGCGCGUAGGCGGUUCGCUAAGUUGGAUGUGAAAACUCUGGGCUCAACCCAGAGCCUGCAUCCAAAACUGGCGGGCUAGAGUUCUGGAGGGGGUAGCGGAAUUCCUGGUGUAGCGGUGAAAUGCGUAGAUAUCGGGAGGAACACCGGUGGCGAAGGCGGCUACCUGGACAGAAACUGACGCUGAGGCGCGAAAGCUAGGGGAGCAAACAGG